ensembl:lncRNA
AGAAGAGCACAAAAUGUUAGUUUAAUGUCAAAGAGAGUGAGGCAAGAUGAAGCUGCAAAUCAUUUAAUAUUAAUCAACUUUUAACAAUACGUUUUAUGAUAGAUAUGUUAAAUAUACGAAAGCUAUGUCAUGCAAACUACUAUAUGGCCAUUUUGAGAGAGAGAGAGAGAGAGAGAGAGAAGAAUGAGAGAGGAAAAAAAUGAGCUCCUGAAAAUUUAAUAAAAGAUUAAGCCAAAAAGUAAGACAGAGAGUGAGAUAAUGACAACAAACAAGUAAAAACAACAGAGGAACAACUUGGAUUCAGGUAAAGACUGAUUUUUCUUCAAGAAAAUACAUUUUAAUGCAAAAAAGAAGACUGGAACUUCUGUAUUAGCAUCUGGCUACUGGAUCACCACUCUAUCAGCUAUCUGCAGUUUUCCCUCCAAAACUUUUAAGGAACCUUUUAAAGAACUACAACUGAAAGACAUUACACAAUUAUCAUCCUCGGUUGCUAAACAGAGAGGAGAGCUCUAUCUUGAAUAAAACAUUACCAAAAACUGUAUAUUUAAUUUUAUUUAAGUAAAAUCUCAUCAUUACAAGCUAAAGGCUAAAGCUAGCUGCAGCUUUGACUCAGUGCCCCAGUGUGAUCACCAUGGCAACCCUGGCGCAAACAGAGUGCAGGGAGGUGUGUUACCCAGAGAAGUGCAGAAGUGUGCAGGCAUGGAAAAAACACAAAGAGAAAACUCUCAGAGACAAUCCUGAUGUUCUGUAUGCUGACUACAUUCAACUCAAUGCCAAAAGAAUCAAGAACAACUUCAUUUUCUACACCACUAGGAUUAGUGCUUGGAAACUGACCAUCUGUGAGGAAUACAAGCAUGUGUUUAAAGAAGGAAUAGGCCGAGGUGGAAGAUUAACUAUUUGUGAAGAUGAAAUGCUAGACACAGACAACCCCAUUCUCACUAUUACCUACUAUACUAAAGGUAACUUCCUACUGCAAGGCAAUGAAGCAAGCCUAAAUUCAUUUGAGGAGAUUUUCCCCCUGCUGAAAGCCAGAGUAGAGAAGAAGAAAGACGAGACUCAUGUGAACUGCACAGACUCUGAGGAGGAAGGUCCAGUGAAUCCUCCUCCUUCACCAUCCGAACGUCGACUGAGAGACAGUUUAGCCCUACUAGAACUGGACUUUACUGAAUUCAGAGAACACACUCAAGCAAAACUCUCAGACAAACACAACACAAAUCUUUACAUCCAGGAGCUCAAAGACGAACUCCAGCAGCUGAAGAACAACACCAGCUCCUCCAUCACCGAACUCACAAGAGCUGUCAGAGAACUACAGGAAGAAAACCGAACUCUCCACUUACAGCUAUGCAAACUAGAGGAGGACACAGAGAAAAAAGAAGAGAACUUCUCCAGACAGCUGCAAGAAAUGAGAGAACAGUUACAGGAAAACACAAAAGACAACACACUUCACUACAAUACAGCUCCUACUACAGACAAACCAAAUUACACAAACACAGAAAGUGUACCUACGACAAACACACAGACACCUGCAGCAACACAGGCCUCACCUGCCCAGCCUCCAGAACCUGAUCCAGAUGUCCUCCUCCUCAUGGACUCUAAUGGAAAGUUUUUAGACCCUCAGAAACUCUUCCCACACCAAAACGUCACUGCAAAGCGAUGUAGCACAACAGGCCACGCCCACCAGAUCAUCAGAGACUUCACAGGACACCCCUCAUGUAUUAUCAUUCACACUGGGACUAACGACCUUCACUCACUGCGCAACAAUACUGCGGAUGCUGUGAGGAAAAUGGCAGAAAUCACCAGCAAAAAGUUCCCAGAAUCCCGAAUCAUAAUCUCCACGCUUCUCCCAAGACACGACACACCACCACACAUCAUCUACAGUAUUAAUAAUGAANNNNNNNNNNNNNNNNNNNNNNNNNNNNNNNNNNNNN